rnacentral:tRNA from 1 species
GGUCCCGUAGUGUAGCGGUUAUCACGUCGCCCUGUCACGGCGAAGAUCGCGGGUUCGAUCCCCGUCGGGACCG